ACGUCACAGCGCCGCAACUCGGCCUGUCCCAAUUCGAAGACUCCUUCAAAUGCGGUCGACGAAUGCGGCCUUCUUUUCGCCUGAAUGAAGGAUGGGUCGGGUGUAUCCUUCAAUAGGUAGCAUUUCCCAAGAUGCCUUGCGGGCCGGCCGGCAGAAAAACUUAAAAACAAUGGCGGACAGUGAAGCGGGAGCUGUCGGAGAGAAUUGCGCAUAUAAAUGUAAGUAUAAACUUGAAAACUGUCAGUUUAAGGACUUUUUGUGAUACAUGAACGUUAUUUUAGUUAGAAAUGUUACAGUAAAAGUGCUUGUAUUGCGGUCUCGGCUCGUAUGUUCGGCCGCGCUCGGUGUCGUACUUCUCCCACUACGUUUCCCCCUGAUUUUAAUAGAAGUUUGUAUUUUAGGACCAAAAGAGAAAACCAGGGAAUUUAUUAAGCUUAGGGCGGAGAUGGACCACAUGAUCACCGGAGCAAAGUAUUCGGCGGCUGUGGCAUGGAGACUAUUCUGGAGAAAAUGGGCAUCCAGGGGAAGGUGCCAGCGAUGAGCUUCUGGAGCUGAUCUGGGAGGACAUGAGGCUGCAGAGCAGCAGAGAGCACAGGAGAGAAGGAAGAACUUUGACAGCUUUUUACUUUGCUAGAAAAAAAUGGUUAAUGAAGAUUAAACAUGUACAUGUAAAAGAAAUAUCUAAAUAAAAUCAGUUCUGCAUUAAA